GGAAGAAUGGUCACUGUGCUAAUCAGCAGUGAAUUGACGGUACCUGCAAAGGAAGCACCGGCUAACUCCGUGCCAGCAGCCGCGGUAAUACGGAGGGUGCGAGCAUUAAUCGGAAUUACUGGGCGUAAAGCGCUCGUAGGCGGUAUGUCAAGUCAAGGGUGAAAUCCCCGCGCUCAACGUGGGAACUGCCUUUGAAACUGGCAAACUGGAGUGUGUGAGAGGAUAGUGGAAUUCCAGGUGUAGGAGUGGAAUCCGUAGAUAUCUGGAGGAACAUCAGUGGCGAAGGCGACUAUCUGGCACAUAACUGACGCUGAGGAGCGAAAGCGUGGGUAGCAAACAGG
rnacentral:rRNA from 1 species